rnacentral:rRNA from 1 species
UACGUAGGGACCAAGUGUUGUCCGGAAUCAUUGGGCGUAAAGCGCGCGUAGGUGGCUUCGUAAGUCCGUUGUGAAAAUCAAAGGCUCAACCUUUGAAAGCCGAUGGAUACUGCGAAGCUAGAGUACGGAAGAGGCGAGUGGAAUUCCUGGUGUAGCGGUGGAAUGCGCAGAUAUCAGGAGGAACACCAAUAGCGAAGGCAGCUCGCUGGGACGUUACUGACACUGAGGCGCGAAAGCGUGGGGAGCGAACAGG